UACGUAGGGUGCGAGCGUUAAUCGGAAUUACUGGGCGUAAAGCGUGCGCAGGCGGUUCGUUGUGUCGGCGGUGAAAGCCCCGGGCUUAACCUGGGAAUGGCCGUCGAAACUGGCGGACUGGAGUGUGGCAGAGGGGGGUGGAAUUCCGCGUGUAGCAGUGAAAUGCGUAGAGAUGUGGAGGAACACCGAUGGCGAAGGCAGCCUCCUGGGCCAGCACUGACGCUCAUGCACGAAAGCGUGGGGAGCAAACAGG
rnacentral:rRNA from 1 species